rnacentral:rRNA from 1 species
GCGAACGCUGGCGGCAGGCUUAACACAUGCAAGUCGAGCGCCCCGCAAGGGGAGCGGCAGACGGGUGAGUAACACGUGGGAACGUGCCUUUUGGUUCGGAACAACCCAGGGAAACUUUGGCUAAUACCGGAUAAGCCCUUACGGGGAAAGAUUUAUCGCCAAAAGAUGGGACCGCGUCUGAUUAGCUAGUUGGUGGGGUAAUGGCCCACCAAGGCUACGAUCAGUAGCUGGUCUGAGAGGAUGAUCAGCCACAUUGGGACUGAGACACGGCCCAAACUCCUACGGGAGGCAGCAGUGGGGAAUAUUGGACAAUGGGGGCAACCCUGAUCCAGCCAUGCCGCGUGAGUGAUGAAGGCCUUAGGGUUGUAAAGCUCUUUUAGCAGGGAAGAUAAUGACGGUACCUGCAGAAAAAGCCCCGGCUAACUUCGU